rnacentral:tRNA from 1 species
ACCUAAGUUGCUCUGACGGUAAAGCGUCUGUCUGCAAUGCAGGAGACCCAGGUUUGAUCCCUGGAUUGGGAA